rnacentral:rRNA from 1 species
CAUGCUUAACACAUGCAAGUCGAACGGAAACGAUGGAAGCUUGCUUCCNGGCGUCGAGUGGCGAACGGGUGAGUAAUGCUUGGGAAUCUGCCUAAUAGUGGGGAACAACUCGGGGAAACUCGGGCUAAUACCGCAUAAUCUCUUCGGAGGAAAGGGGGCCUCUACAUGUAAGCUCUCGCUAAUAGAUGAGCCCAAGUCAGAUUAGCUUGUUGGUAAGGUAACGGCUUACCAAGGCUACGAUCUGUAGCUGGUCUGAGAGGAUGAUCAGCCACACUGGGACUGAGACACGGCCCAGACUCCUACGGGAGGCAGCAGUGGGGAAUAUUGCACAAUGGGCGAAAGCCUGAUGCAGCAAUGCCGCGUGUGUGAAGAAGGCUCUAGGGUUGUAAAGCACUUUCAAUAAGGAAGAAAAGCAUAAGGUUAAUAACCUUAUGUAUUGACGUAACUUAUACAAGAAGCACCGGCUAAUUCCGUGCCAGCAGCCGCGGUAAUACGGAAGGUGCAAGCGUUAAUCGGAAUUACUGGGCGUAAAGCGCGCGUAGGCUGUUAUCUAAGUCGGAUGUGAAAUCCUCGGGCUCAACCCGGGAACUGCAUCCGAAACUAAAUAACUAGAGUAUGGGAGAGGUAAGUAGAAUUUCCGGUGUAGCGGUGAAAUGCGUAGAUAUCGGAAGGAAUACCAGUGGCGAAGGCGGCUUACUGGACCAAUACUGACGCUGAGGUGCGAAAGCGUGGGGAGCGAACAGGAUUAGAUACCCUGGUAGUCCACGCCGUAAACGAUGAGAACUAGAUGUUGGGAGGGUUAGCCUCUCAGUGUC